rnacentral:lncRNA from 1 species
GCCCAGCCCAGCUCUUGUGCUUUUAUUUGUCAACACUUAUUUUUGUUUCCUGACACAAAGUGGAAACAUUUGGUCAGUGUUUUGGCUCGUGUCCCUGCUGUUUUCCCUGUCUCCUGCAGUGUCACAUGGAAGGACAUUCCAGGCUUUAUUUUUUGUCAUUCCUGACAGGCAUGAAGCUGUAAAAUAUUUGGGUGGCUGCUAACAGUGUUUUAAUCCCAGGAGAUGUUUUUUUCCCUGGCUCCAGGGCUGCCCUUUGGGUGAGGGAAUGUUCUCAAAACCUUCUGCAGAGCUGCUAAGAGCCAGGGCAGGCUGGAUCCAGGUGCUGUGAAUCCCUGUGCUUGUUCCUACUCCCAAGCUGCUCUUCCAUGCCUCUUUUCAGGUAGUUGAAGCUGAAAGAAUUGGUUUUGAACAGAGGCUUGGAGCCUGCCUGCUCGAGGGAACUUCACUGCACCCUUGAAGAAUUACCUAAUGUGGUGAGAUUCACUUGUCUGGUUACCUAAGUGCUUUGUUCCUGCUUUUCCAGAGAGGAAUUGCUGACUCCCAUCAAUGUGUGCUCUGAAAUUGUGUUUCCUGGAAUCUGCAUCCCUUCCCAAAUGCCAGAAGUCCAUUAGAGUAGAGCAAAAGACAUUAAAAAAGCCCCUUAGUUUAAUACUUUCACCUGCAGGGUUGAUAAAAAUUCCAUCCUUGCCCCAGAACUUCCUCUGUGACAUCUGCACAAUUCCAUUCCUCCCACAAACCAGCCACAAGGAUCCUUCCUGCUCUGGUUCCUGCUUAAAGCCCCUCAGGGCAGCUGCUGCCUGAAUAUUUACUCCAGCCAGGCUCGUGGGGGAAGAGCGAUACAAAGCAAACAGGGAAGUGCAGACAGAAAAUGCAUUAGAAAUGUUUGGAAAAGGCACUCCAAGGUCUCCCCAGGCUGGUCAGAGAGGAAAGUUUUCCAGGAUUGCAGCAGGCUGCUGUUAUUCCCUGGGCUGCUUUUUUGGAGUUUGUACCCAGCCCUACAUCGAUUGUGGAGAGGUGGCCCAGGGAUCUUUGCCAUCCUGUCAGUGGAGAGAGGAGCAGACCUGGAGAGUUUUUUAUCUGGAAGAGAGCACGUGGUGGAAAUAAGUGAUGCUGGAGCCUUGCAGGCCCUGUGUCACAGCAAGCAAAUUGACCUUGUGCUUAAAUGGUUAUUGUGGGCAUUCCGAGGGGGAUAUUGGCUGCAAAUGUGUUACUGGCAUAAUUAAAAUGUAGUCCCUGCCUGGGUUUUUAUUCCUGGGAAUGGUGCAGAUCAGCACGGGAGUGGCAGGAGUGGGAGGAAGCUGCAGCUCCUCCUUGCCUCAGUCUUUACCACUACGAUUAAUUUUCAUUACAGAGGAAAUGAAAUUCAGCCCAGGAGACCCUCUUUGAUUCCCAGGGAGGAAAAGUGUCUUGCUUUUAUGGCAGGAAACUGCACUUUAAACUGCUUUUAGAUCCCCUUGCAGGCUGGUUUACACUUCAAGCCCCAGUUUGUCAGCUGGCAGGUACCUGCUGCUUCCCCUGGGCACCCUUCUCUGUCUGCCUUUGGUUUCCUCCUCUCCGUGCUCCAGGGCACCAGGCAGCUUCUAAUUAAUCAGGGUCAGGAAGAAAAUUUCCCUGGGGAAAAGUUGUUUUCUCUCCACCUGCUUGCAAAGCUUUCUGAGCCUGCCAGCAGAGCUGCUGGGCAGAGAGGGUAGAUGAUGGUAAAUGCCUAAACCAGCCUGAAAAUGUCAGGGCUUGAGCUCUUCCCAACAUCCCCUGGACUUUUGUGGCUUUCCCUGCUGCUUCUGAGCUAACUAGAGAUGUGUUGGAGUCAGCUCUGGUCACUGGGAAAUAUUGGCUGGAAGGGGAAUAAGUUGCCAGUGGAGAUUUGGAGGAGUUUCUGUGGAAGGUUUGGGGAACUCCAUCCUGCUGGUGAACAUGGAAUUCCCAGUAACAGUGCUCCAGGUGCAGGCAGAGUGGGGAACUUGGGGAUGAUGGGUCUGGUUUUAGUUUAGUGACCACCAGGGCAGGCUGAGAGAAAGAACAGCAAAUCUUUUAUCCUUUAGAGGAAAAGGGUUGAGCUCAUCUGCUGAUGCUUCCCAUGUUCAAUUCGCCCAUCUCUUGGGGUACAAAAACAUUUCUCUCCUGUCUGGGGCACUCACAGAGCUCAAAACCUUCAGCUGAGCAGCUGCUCUCAAGAAUCUGGAAGUGCUGCUCCCUCUGAGAGCAACAAACUCUUAAUUUUCA